rnacentral:rRNA from 1 species
UUGACGGGGCCCGCACAAGCGGUGGAGUAUGUGGUUUAAUUCGAUGCAACGCGAAGAACCUUACCUGGUCUUGACAUCCCGGAGACCCUUAGGAAACUAGGGGGUGCUUCCAUCUGGAAGAAUCUGGAGACAGGUGCUGCAUGGCUGUCGUCAGCUCGUGUCGUGAGAUGUUGGGUUAAGUCCCGCAACGAGCGCAACCCUUGCCUUUAGUUGCCAGCAGUUCGGCUGGGCACUCUAAAGGGACUGCCGGUGUUAAACCGGAGGAAGGUGGGGAUGACGUCAAGUCCUCAUGGCCUUUAUGACCAGGGCUACACACGUACUACAAUGGCCGAUACAAAGGGCAGCGACACUGCGAGGUGAAGCCAAUCCCGUAAAAUCGGUCUCAGUCCGGAUUGGAGUCUGCAACUCGACUCCAUGAAGUUGGAAUCGCUAGUAAUCGUGGAUCAGCAUGCCACGGUGGAUACGUUCCCGGGCCUU